CGGAGCCCGCGUUUCCGCAGAGCUGGAGCUCCCGGCUCGGGGUCUCUUCCCUCCGCCUUCACGGAACUGUCCCGGAGCCCGCGGCGAGGGCGGCCUCACUGACGCUGCCGGCUCUGGAGGGGCCCCGGAGGCCGAAGCCGCGACAGUCGUGCGGACGGCGGGCCGGUUGUUUCAACAAGUAACUUAAAGACCAAAUGGAAAAAAAGGAGGUUUGUGCCUGAGAUCAUGUUGAUGUGAAACCAGGGAUGGCCACCUUGUCCCAGGUACAAAACAAAGAAUCGCUUUGCACAAAGCCAGAAGGGCUACACUGAAAGAAUGAUCAGAAAAGAAUAAUACAUAGCAGGCCCACCGCUAGGCCUCUCACCUGAGAAGUCCAGAAUCGGGAAGACACAGGCUGUAUCAGUUGCACUGCGGCCUUAUUCACAAUAGCCAAGAUGGUGAAGCAACCAAAAUGUCCAUCAACAGGUGAAUGGAUAAAGAAGAAGAGGUCCAUGUGCACAAUGGAAUAUUCACCAUGGAGAACAAUGAAUUACUGCUCUUUGAGGCAUCACAGAUGAGCCUAGAGAUAAUCAUGGAACAUGAGCGGGACUUCGUUUGGCUGCCUGCUUUCCCACCUCUUGUGCCAGAAAGAGUGUGGGCUCAGAUGCCCAGCUCAGCAGCUUCAGCUGAGCUGCUCCUUCCUCCGAGCUCCGGCCUCAUUCCCGUUUGGUUCCCAGCUGCCCUCAUCUGCUCAGAUGCGGGCGCUCCGCCAGUCCCCACCCCAUCCCCAAUCUCCCCCGCUUCCCACCAGCCUA